UGAUUGCGAAUGAGAUCGUCACUGUCAUGACAAGUUCUAAUUAUUACAUAAUGAUGUAAGAUUCAAAAUUCAAUUAAAUUAUUAAAUAACAAGAAUUGAAUACCUCUUUUUGUAACUUCAUUGGGGUGUAAAAGCGUUAACUGAAGUACAUUUUGUAGCACGCUUCAUUUUAAAUAUGUGCGCACAGUCAACCCUCAUACAUUAUUAAGAAAAUGUGGUAUGAUUGCCAUUUACUAGCAAAAGGACUCUCAAAUACAAACUAAAUCACUUUAUACAGCCUUCGUCCACACACCAUUACUGGUUAGCAAACUUUAUUAGUCCUGGAUAGGACAAAGUUGAACAAUUCAAAUGAUAAAAUGUAACAUGUUCAAAACAAUAAACAAAAUAUUUAAUAUACAGUACAGCAACUAAUGACUACCACUGAAUAAAUUAUAGUCAUGUCUUGGAACUGCCACAUAAGCUACUGAAAUUGAAUGUGGCCUGGUAAAUCAUGUUUGUUGGUGCUCAGCCAACCCCAGAACAUAAAACAAUAUGUAACAAAAAUUAAACAUGCAACGCAAGACAACCUAUAAAAAUCUUACAAAUAUGGCUCAACCUAUUUAGACUGUUUACAAUUGAAUUGUCUGACCAGUAACAGUUUAUGUCUGUUACAUGUUAACAUUACUUUUAAACUAGCAAGACUUAAGUUUCAUGCAUAGUGUUUAUAGUUCACAGCACAUCCAGUCAUGGUUAUGUCUGAUAUUUACUUCAUCAAUACUGAACUAAGCAAAAUUUGAGGUUUGACUACGAUAGGCAUGGUAGGUCAUAAAAUCAAUAUAAAAAAAAUAUGGUAUGACUGCCAAUGAGACGAAUCUUCACAAUAGAUUAAAUGGCACAGAAGUUAACAACUACAAGUCAUAUGGCCUUGAACAAUGAGCAUAGGGAGCUGUAAAGGGCCCUGAAAUGACAUUGUACAACAAUUCAAAUGAGAAAGGCCUAAUUUACAUACAUAAAAUGAACAAAAAAACAAUUAUGUAACCCAUAAACAAACGGCAACCACUAAGUUACAGGCUCCUGGCUUGGGACAGGCACAUAAAAACAGAAUAGUGUGGCUGGGUUAAAUAAGUAAGCCAAGAGAUCCAUACUUUUUUAAAAGAAUCUUCAAUUGUAAUUUUUUUUCCAUUUAUUGCCCAUACUUUUGAAAAUUUGGUUAUUUAAUCUGUUCCAACUAAAACAGGAGAGGUAUCCAGGAGUGUUGUGGGAAUAUUUGGAUAGAGAAGACUUGAUUAGACUUUCUUGCAUUUAAUAUCUUACUCCUAGAAUUUAUGUACUGA
rnacentral:lncRNA from 1 species